rnacentral:rRNA from 1 species
GAUGAACGCUGGCGGCGUGCCUAAUACAUGCAAGUCGAGCGAAUGGAUUAAGAGCUUGCUCUUAUGAAGUUAGCGGCGGACGGGUGAGUAACACGUGGGUAACCUGCCCAUAAGACUGGGAUAACUCCGGGAAACCGGGGCUAAUACCGGAUAACAUUUUGAACCGCAUGGUUCGAAAUUGAAAGGCGGCUUCGGCUGUCACUUAUGGAUGGACCCGCGUCGCAUUAGCUAGUUGGUGAGGUAACGGCUCACCAAGGCAACGAUGCGUAGCCGACCUGAGAGGGUGUUCGGACACACUGGGACUGAGACACGGCCCAGACUCCUACGGGAGGCAGCAGUAGGGAAUCUUCCGCAAGGGACGAAAGUCUGACGGAGCAACGCCGCGUGAGUGAUGAAGGCUUUCGGGUCGUAAAACUCUGUUGUUAGGGAAGAACAAGUGCUAGUUGAAUAAGCUGGCACCUUGACGGUACCUAACCAGAGAGCCACGGCUAACUACGUGCCAGCAGCCGCGGUAA